UGUUUUGUAAGUUUAUUGUGACCUU
rnacentral:piRNA from 1 species